rnacentral:rRNA from 1 species
AUGCUUCAGAAAAGGGCCUGCAAACGGUACAACAAAAUCAAUAACCACUGGUCAUCCUACACUGUAACGUUAUCACCCCAAGCGUGCACACAUCAUUACUGGGACACUACGUCUAGUAGAGAAAGAAAAAAAAAUACCAUGGAGAAUUCAUCAAUUAACGAAAAGAUUAAGAAAAGAAAGAUCCUACAGUACUUCUUUAUCACUUGGUUGUCAAUUUGCAGAUACACUCACCCGAAAAUCACUGAAGAUAGUCACACUCAUAUGAACACAUGUAUCUGUACCCGGGUGGUCUCUUUUGUUUUGCUGUUAAGGGUUAGAAGUAGACAAGUACUAACUCUGUAA